rnacentral:lncRNA from 1 species
AAGAAGAGUGCCAAAGAAAAAGUUGUUUGACUUCAUUUACCAGUGUCUCCUGGAGGUAGAAGAUGACAGAGGAUUGUAUGCAUCUCUUGCAAAAAUUACAAGCAAUCUCUCACCAGGCUCAUUCGGCUCCAGAGUGUAAGAGGGAGAGAAAUCCUACUGACCAGGAGCCUUCUAAAUGGUGACUAUGGAGAGAUGCCAAGGAAAUUGAAUGGUGCCAAAUGCAAAAUCCUCAAGUUGCUCUCUAAACCAAAGAAAUUCACUGGGAGCCGGAUUUCACUGAGGCAGGAAGUAUUUCACCUACAAAGAUAGAGCACAUGUGGAGAUUAUAUUUGGGACCAGGGAAUAAAGAAGAAAAGGAAAGCUACAUUGUAUUUCAGUUGUAUUUCAGGAGACAGUAAAAAGAGAACGUUCCCUGAAGCAAAAAUAACCAAUGACCUUUGGUGCAGGAAAAAUAUUUAAGCAAUAGUUUAUAAUUAAGUUUAUUUAAAUUUUUCCCUUAUAGGAAAUUAACUGCUGAAAAUCUGUUACUCCUUCAGCAAGUUCAAUGCACAUAGAACGCAUAGAGAAAGAGAGAUCCAGAAUUAUUUCAAAUUUCAAAAAUUAUAUUUAUUUGAAAUAACCCUGGAUCUAAACUACUACAAAUGUUUAUUGCAUACUCAAUAUGCAUAGGAGGUCAGGGGAAUACCAAGAACUCCAAGUUACAGAACAAGUCUUCUAAGUGCUUAAAAGUGCCAGUUAGGGAGAUAAGUUAUGGGCUCAUAGAAAAAGAACCGUAAUAAUGCUAAGGAUCCUGUGGUAAAUGCUAAAUGAAUAACAGAGUCAUUCAUUUUUGGAGACCUCGUCCCUCACUCAUGGUCUUCAGGUAAGAGAUAGAACUUAAAUCAUGUCUUAAAGGAUUUUGGAAAUUAUAGGAAAAUAAGGGACAUGAAAAGGAUCCUAGCAUUAAAAAAAAAGUACAGAUGCAGCAAAGUACCAAGCACAUCUAGCAGACCUUGAGCAGAUCCUUUUAACUGCAACAAAGGGUUUGUGCCAACUAGGAGAAAACUUUGAGUAAGUAGGUUGGGCCUCUGCUCUGAAGGGCCUUCACUACUAAAUUAAGAUAUUUGGACAUUAUCUUUUUAGGCAGUAAAGAAUCAAAGCUGGUUUCCCGUGAAGCAACAUGAUUAAAGUAUGCUUUCUAAAAAUCUUUCUUUUUUUAUGAAGAAAAUUUGCAAAACACAGAAAACCACCAAAAAUAGAAUAAAAAUUGGCGUGCACCUAUAAUCCCAGCUACUCAGAGACUGAAGCAGGAGAAUCUCUUGAAACUGGGACAUAGAGGUUGCAGUGAGCCGAGAUCGCACCACUGCGCUCCAGCCUGGGUGACAGAGUGAGAUUUUGUCUCAAUAAAUACAUACAUACAUACAUACAUACAUACAUACAUACAUAAUAGUAAAAUAAAAAAUGAAAAUAAAAAUUACUUGGAAAUCCAUCAUCCAUAAAUAUGUUAAACUUUGAUGGCUAAAUGUACAGCAUUUUAUUUCUGGUCAUAUAUUUAUGUGUGUGCACGUGUGUGUGUGUGUGUGUGUGUAGACUGGGAUUAUGUUUUUUUAAUUCAACAUUAUGUUGUGGGUUUUUCAACAUGAUUUUUAAUAAACUGCA